AAUGUAGGAUAGUCAAGUAGGAGUAGCAUUCACUCGCAUGAUAAACGAGGAACUUUAUCCAAGUAAGAUUUCAAUCACACUAACAACAAAGACAUUUGACUUCUAGAAGCAGCUAAUAUGUCUAUAACACAACACCAAUUAUAAUUGUCACUCAAAGAAACCACGUAUAACGAUGUAAAUUGGAGCAAGAGUCAUGGGAACUACAUCUUCUAUCAGCGAGUGUAAUAAUUCCUCGUAAAUAUGCCUCGAAAGAUCUUUACAGCUAUUUGAAGACACUAUGGAGGCAUAUCCUUUUAAAGUGGUGGCGCAAUUACAUCA